rnacentral:rRNA from 1 species
UACGUAGGGUGCGAGCGUUAAUCGGAAUUACUGGGCGUAAAGCGUGCGCAGGCGGUUUUGUAAGUCUGACGUGAAAUCCCCGGGCUUAACCUGGGAAUUGCGUUGGAGACUGCAAGGCUGGAGUCUGGCAGAGGGGGGUAGAAUUCCACGUGUAGCAGUGAAAUGCGUAGAGAUGUGGAGGAACACCGAUGGCGAAGGCAAUCCCCUGGGCCUGCACUGACGCUCAUGCACGAAAGCGUGGGGAGCAAACAGG